CACACACACACACACACACACACGCAAAGCAAACAGACCCUCUGUCCCAUUCUACACUGGUGAUUCUAGUAAAGGUGGUUCAUAAACCACUUUUUUGAGAAACAUGAGCUUCGUUAGUAAUGCCAGGUGGUCUGGCCAGUGAGAAAUCUCUGGACGUCAGGGUAGCCUCAAAGAAGAUCAUUUAAGAUUAAAAAUUCCAUAUGAAGUUGUUUGCAUUGCAACAGUGUAAAUCCCCUUGGCCUGAGCAGCCUGGGCCGUCUGCAGCACACACAAAGGUCUUACAUGGGAGUUUGGUUUUGAUGAAAUUCAAGACGAGGCCCUGAGUUCCACAUCUGAGUGCAGACCCGGGACAGCACACACAGAUGGCAAAGUGACACAAACUGAAAGAAUCCAAUGGCAGCGGAAACCAGGAGCCAGGGGUGAUCCCAAGAACACGAGUCCACUCUCACCUGCCCCGCCAGGAAUAUGCAGACACCUGGGCACAUUAGCCCUUCCAUGGAAGUGGACUUGAGUUUUGCAAGGCAGGGUGAUCUCAGCUUGGGUAUACUCAUUCUAGCAUAGCUUCCCUGUAGUGUUGCUCAACUCGUGUGUUAGGAAUAGCUCUGCCCAUUCCCAGUGGCAGCAAGAGGGCAGAGGGACAGGGGAGACUGAGCAGGCAGGUCUCUAAGUGACCUCAAGUCACCACAACCACCAACCCACUCAGGUGCUGAAGGGAAUGGGAAAAUACUCCUAUGACCCAGUGAGCGCUUCCAAUAAAGGUGAGCACUGACAGCCAGGCAGGAGGUGGGUCAUCCUGACAGCAAGUGGCUAGGAGAGCAUUGAGAUGUUGUGGGAACUGGGAUUCCAGAUUGGCAGCUCUGAGUUAGCCUCUGAUUGGCGAGGGACAGGUCCCCCUUCCCUAAGGUUUUCCACUCCCCACUGGGCCCUGCUCAGGUCAGGCGGGCUGGAGGGGCGAGAGCUCGGCACUGGCCCUGGGGUCUUGGCACUGUUUCAAAGGCUGGCUUCAGAUGCUCAUCAGCUGGCUCUUGCACAGGCCUGGGCGGAGAUCGCAUCAGAGAUGUGAAAAAUGCCAGGGAAGCCAAAACAACUUUCUUUAAAUAGGGCUCAGGCAAUAGGCCGGGUGCUUACACUCCACCUUGGCCUUGUGAAGGAAAAUGCCAACAUUCGCCCAGAGUUGGAGAAGCAAACAGGCACCUUUGAGGAAGACGGAGAACUGACUCCAAGAGACGCCAAGACACAGGGAAUGCAAAGAAAGCUAUCCACACCCUUCUCCUAAUCAUCUUGACCUGCAAAUGACACGUCAUUUCUGAUCAAACUCUGUAGGAGAAGCUACUGCAUGACCCCACCUACAUGCAAGAGGAGCCAGGAGAUGGAAUCCUGUCUGGACAGCCACUUCAACCCAUGGAAAGUGAAGCACAAUUUGUUGGUGGACAACUAGCUCUCCCUGCCACCACCCACCUUUGAAUUUCCUGUAACAGUUAUUUACCGUGCAUGGCCCAGGAAAAAUGUCUUUGCCCCUCAGUUUCAGUUCCUAACAGGACAAAGGUUUUCAGAUUUAAAUGAACUAUCAGUAAAUGGCUAUACCUAA